ACAUACUUACAACAUAGUGUUAAUGCAUCGCGUCCCAUUAGAACUCCGCAGUUAAGCACGCUCGGGCUAGAGUAGUACUAGGAUGGGUGAUUGCCCGAGAAGUCCUAGUGUUUUGCAUGCC
rnacentral:rRNA from 1 species